AGGGAGUUCUGCCCCUGCCAAGGGGUGCUGGCCACGCAGGAGGCUUAACCUGGCCGGCGCGGGAAUGGGGUGCAGAGAGCAAAGAAAUGUGGCUUUGAUCUUAUGGAUGCCUUACUUUUACAUUAUUUGUACAGUUCUUGCAGUGAGCUUUCCGGACCACUGUCUUGUAUGUUUCCUAAGAAAAGCAAAAAGGGAAGAGAUUGAAGAGAAAGUAGAUUUUCAACUACAAACUUUCAUCCAUUUGCUUUCAGCUUAAGCAAAUGUGCGCAAAGUUGUCAUGGAUUUUUGCAGUCAAUAAAAACCAAGCAAGAAGACUGAAUCCCAAGUCAUCUGGGGCAGAUAAGAAAAGAAACAAUUUGCUGAAACUCCCUCUGCUUAUAACAAAACUGACUGAAAUCAGCCGGAAUCAAUAUGGCCAAAUGCAGUUUGCGCACAGCAAGCUUGCUGAUGUCACAGCCUGAAUUUCUACUGCAUGUUUCAUACCAACUCCCUCCAAAUUUGCACAUGGGACCCACCAGGAAGCAUGAAGAGAGAGCCAUGCAUGCCUGAAGACUUCCCAGAUGUUCCCUUUGCUUCCACCAAUCACCUGCUAACCCCAGGAUCCAACCCUAAACCUUUUGUAAUAAAAUUACUGCCCUAAAGCCAGUACAAGACAGAUUUGAACUGGACUUUUGUUUCCUCAGAAGUUAACUUGCAAUGUGAAGCUUUCCUUUUCUCAAAAACUUGGUGUCAUAGUGUUGGCUUCUAGUGCAGUGAGCCCCUUUUGCUGGAUAACCUUACCUGGUAAUUUGACAUACUAGGUGGUUAGUAACUACUGACUGUCUCCAGGUUACAACACAGUUAUUACCCACUUGGGUGAAAAGAGAAGACAGGAAAUACAUUUUGGAGUUGGCUGGCAACCUGUUUACAAAGCAAUUUACAACAGUUCCUUAUUCUUAAGGGGCUAUUCUAAUACAAGACCUCAGAGAAACAGUGCAGUGUGACAAAGGAGGAAUUUAUCAAAGGAGACAGAAAAAGCAUCAAGGCAAGCUGUGAAAUGGUGCGGUAGGAACCAAAUAGAGAGCCAAAGGAUCUUUCUGUCACUGCAGGCCCUUAGGGCUGAACUCUGAGAACACCACAACUUCACAGAGACUGCUGGUUUUCUGCAAUUAGCAGCAAGAGUCCUGACUCAGGGAAGUUGCUCUCCAGUCCAGACUAGCAAAAGACAGAGAGAAUGGGCUCUGCAGAAGACAGAUCCAGACAAGCCAUGCAUGAUUCAUGCCACCUGCAGCCACACGGGUGUCAAUACCAAGAACCUGCCAUAUGUCAUCAAGAGUGUGUUAAGUGAAACCUUCUCAAGAGUUAUUCUUUUGUGCUCUGUCCAAAUCUGGAGAACCCUUCCAAAUACUAUAAAGAUUGAUAUCUUGGCCGGGCCCGGUGGCUCACACCUGUAAUCCCAGCACUUUGGGAGGCUGAGGCAGGCAGAUCACAAGGUCAGGAGUUCCAGACCAGCCUGGCCAACCUGGUGAAACCCCAUCUCUACUAAAACUACAAAAAUUAGCCAGGCGUGGUGGUGUGCGCCUGGAAUUCCAGCUACUCAGGAGGCUGAGGCAGGAGAAUCACUUGAACCCGGAA
rnacentral:lncRNA from 10 species